rnacentral:lncRNA from 1 species
GAUGUACGAAACGAACAGAAUCCGGCCUGCUCUUUCAUAACUGCGUUGGCUCAGCAGGAAGUAAUGGUGUUCAAAACUUGCUUUCUCUUACUGAGUCUUGGAACAGCCUCCUGCACUGUGAGCAUUUUUGGAGGAGGAGAUGCCUGGGGCAGACUUCUCUAGAGAUCAUGAAAGAAAUGCAAUCAACCCCUUGUUUUCCAGUCACUGAAACCCAGCUAUCCUAUUUAUGGAUGUUUUAAAACAGCUAAAGUCACUGCAGUGUAACUGCCAGGAUUGGAUUCUGAGUAUCAUAUCUUGGCUCAUCUGCAGGUUUGGGGACAUCACAUUAAACAUCAUGGAUUUUGAUGACUGCCCUCUCUGCUUCCAGGGGAAUGCUUGAAGAGGCCAUGCGUGUUCUUUGACUUCUUCCAUCUCCUAGCCAACAGCAUAGCAUCUUCUAUCCUCUCUCACCUUCCACCUCUCUCCUAUAAAGAUGCUGGGAAAAAAAGGCUCAGUGUCUAAGCUUGCAGAAUAAGUGACAGAGCUGGUAUUCAAAUGAUCCUUUUGAUUGAAACUAUAUUUUAAUCACUCUGUGGUGUCACAAGCAAAAGAUUUGUCAGACGUGACUCCUGCCCUUCAAGAAACAAACAGAACACAAAGAAAACAAAAUGUCUAACGAGAUACUUUAUAGUUGCUGCAGAUGCAAAGUAUGUUAGGACACGAUCCUUUCAUGGACCUCUCACUGUAGGGCUGGGACAGACAUGACAACAUAUGACGUGUCCAAAGAGGGGUACAAAUAAGCUAUUUGGUUAUCACUAGUGUGAAGCACUUACCUGCCAGGAAAUAUCAAGAAAUUAUCUUUGGUGUUGAUAAGGUAUGCAACUUGAUGUUUUGAUGUAUGUGUACAUUGUGAAAUAAUCACCACGAUCAAGGUAACUUUUGACUACUUUCUUGAGAUCUUCACAUUGCUUCUGUAACAGAGCUAUACCAUACUGAAGAGAGCUUCGAAGUCAGAUAUACCUGGGUCAGUUUACCCCAUUUCCCAGCCAUGCUAUCGGGGAAAGUUACUUAACCUUUCGGUACCUCAAUUUUGUCAAUUGUGACAUGAGAAAAAUAAUGCGUACCCUUAGGUUGAUUUAAUAGCGCUUAUGUAGGACUGACAAGUGCUUGUGCAGCAAAGAUCUCAGUCAUCUGUAUUGCUUGUAUUUCUUUCCAUUUAUUCCCACGGAACAUUAUGUUUAUUAGUAUUUGAUAUUCUUGUAAUAUCCAGCAUUCUCUUUCCCUCACAUACUUUCUGGUCUCCUGUCCUAACUGGGAUAUGCUCCGCCUACUUGUUAAGCAGUAGUUGAGUGAUCUUAG